AAUGAACGCUGGCGGUAGGCUUAACACAUGCAAGUCGGACGGAAACGACAUAAAUAAUCACUUCGGUGUGCGUUUAUGGGCGUCGAGUGGCGGACGGGUGAGUAAUGCCUGGGAAUCUACCCUAAUGUUGGGGACAACGUAUGGAAACGUACGCUAAUACCGAAUAUGCUCUACGGAGUAAAGGAGGCCUCUACUUGUAAGCUUUCGCAUUAGGAUGAGCCCAGGUGAGAUUAGCUAGUUGGUGAGGUAAUGGCUCACCAAGGCGACGAUCUCUAGCUGGUUUGAGAGGAUGAUCAGCCACACUGGGACUGAGACACGGCCCAGACUCCUACGGGAGGCAGCAGUGGGGAAUAUUGCACAAUGGGCGAAAGCCUGAUGCAGCCAUACCGCGUGUGUGAAGAAGGCCCGAGGGUUGUAAAGCACUUUCAAUUGUGAGGAAGGUUCAGUAGUUAAUACCUGCUGUUCUUGACGUUAACUUUAGAAGAAGCACCGGCUAACUCUGU
rnacentral:rRNA from 1 species